AUGGGCAAACUAAGUACAGAAUGGGCAGAUGGUGGUACUUCAAAAUACUGUGCAAACUCACCACCACAGUUUGGAAAGGGAACCCAGCUGACAGUGCUUGAGAAGAAUGAUGUAAUCACAUCACCAGCUGUGGCCAUCUUUUCCCCAUCAAAGCAAGAGAUCCAAGAGAAGAGCAAGGCCACACUGGUAUGCCUGGCCUCUGGUUUCUACCCCGACAACCUCAAUCUAGUCUGGAAGGUGAAUGGUGCUGAGAGGACAGAAGGGGUGGGGACAGAUGAGACUUCCACAUCAUAUGGGAAUGCUUAUUCACGGACCAGCCGACUGAGAAUCUCAGCCCAAGAAUGGUUCAACCCUUUGAAUCGUUUUGAGUGUGUUGCCAAUUUUUUUAAGAAUGAAGCACAGGAAUCAAUACACAAAUUCAUCUAUGGUGAUGCUGGCUGUAUUAUCUUCAAAGAAAACUAUCAAAGAAGUGCUACAGCUGGGAAGUUUUUGUACAUCAUGCUCCUUUUGAAGAGCAUUUUGUAUGGGAUAUUUGUAAUGGGGAUGAUGCUUAGGUCCAAGUAAAUAUUCUAGAUAUACUUUUCCCUGAAGAAGAAGACAGACAUAUGAUGCAAGCUUCAAAUCUUUGAACACAAGUCCUCAUUUGCUUCAGGAACCAGCCUUCUAUUACUAACAAAGGCAGGAGAACAGCGAUUUGGCAAUAUACUUCUAUUUUUGCUUGUUUUCAAAUUUAUCUUUUGAUAAAAGUCUACCUUUUAUAAACUUCUCUGUAAUUUCCUUUAUAAGCUAUGAUAGGAUGACACAACUGUUUUAUUUCUACUGUUCUCAAAGAACUGAAUGGAUACAAUUGGCUCUAGGGAGAAUAUACAAGUGAACAAAGAUGACCUCUGCUUACUCUGCUUAUUGGAGUAAUAUGGUACUCCAGAUCAUGUUCUCAUGGUAUAUUUAAAUUACAUAGGGCAUAAAAUGAAGUCUCCAUAACUCUUCCUGGGGGAGAAGGAAGGAGGGAUGGAGGGACGGAGGG